CGAACGUUAGCGGCGCGCCUAACACAUGCAAGUCGAGCGAGAAAGGGGCAACCCCGGUAAAGCGGCGCACGGGUGAGUAACACGUAGGUAAUCUACCCUCGGGUGGAGGAUAACUUUCCGAAAGGAAGGCUAAUACUGCAUGAGACCACGGUUCCGGAAGGGAUUGAGGUCAAAGCCGGCCACUGUACACAAGCUGGCGCCUGAGGAUGAGCCUGCGGCCCAUCAGCUAGUUGGUAGGGUAAUGGCCUACCAAGGCGAAGACGGGUAGCUGGUCUGAGAGGAUGAUCAGCCACACUGGAACUGAGACACGGUCCAGACUCCUACGGGAGGCAGCAGUGGGGAAUCUUGCGCAAUGGGCGAAAGCCUGACGCAGCGACGCCGCGUGAGUGAUGAAGGCCUCGG
rnacentral:rRNA from 1 species